UCCAGCGCACUCACCUAUCCACUAAACAGCAACUUCAAUGUUGAAAGAUUUUAUUUGUUUUUUUAAAAACACCUAAUCUAGGCAAAAAUAAUAAUCUAUGCAAUGUAUGAUCAUAUAAUGUAACUAAACCCCCAUUAUUUUUGCCUAGAUUAGGUGUUUUAAAAAAAACAAAUAAAAUCUUAAAACAUUGAAGUUGCUGUUUAGUGGAUAGGUGAGUGCGCUGGA